rnacentral:lncRNA from 1 species
ACUCUAGCAUAUACCCAUUUGGCUUUUUCAUCUCCUUUGGUCCCUUUAGGCAUCCUAAUGUUCCUUCGUAGGAAGUAAACCCAGAAAAAUUCCAAAGAUGCUUCUUUUUCCUUCUUUUUUGAAUUAAAGCUUAGGUUAAAUGAAGCACAACCCAGAAAACCAAGGCUUCAAUUUUUUAUUCAAAUUACUCUCAUCUCUGUAUGCUGUAUUAAUGGUAUGUAUGUUGACUUCUUUGUCUUAUUUUACUUUUCUUUUUUUUUUCUUUCUGCUGAUUCAUGAAUUAAAACUUAAUUUAUAGUUGUGGGUAAUAUGUACUGUUUAUGCCCCUCUGUGCUUACAGCUCUUGCUGAUCAUGAGAUAAAACUGUUAACAAUGAAAUUUUGGCCAAUUCUGUAAUUCAUACUCAUUUUCUCAUGUUUUCUUGGGUAAUUAAGUUCAAUCUGUCAUAUGGUGUGUCUUGAGUGACCUUUUAGGGAAUUCGCUUAGCUCAUUUUAUCAUAAAUUUGUAGGUUUUUUAUGUUGGAGAUUGUACUGCCUAUAUAGGGCAGAAACAAUGUUUUUUUUUGUAUAUAUAAUGUAAACUUUUGAAUCCCUUAGACAUAAGGGAAGUUUUAAUUGGAGUGGCAAAGACAGUUUCAAAAUUUGCUUUUCAAAUUUUUUGAAUCCCCUUUCCUAAAUUCCUGGCUCCGCCACUGCUUGCAACUAGCCACAGUUCUGCGGAAGCCAGAUUUUUUUUUGACGCCAUAAACGUUGAAGCAUUUGAUUAUUGAUGUAGCUGUCUUAAUCUACAGAUUUGAGAUGCUUACUUUGCCCCAUUGAAGCGGAGAAGCUGUAGAUAAUGAUCUGUUGAAGUUUAUACUUUGAGUUUGAACCCAAUAAAAUUUAACUGAAGCAAG